UACAGAGGUCCCAAGCGUUGUUCGGAUUCACUGGGCGUAAAGGGUGCGUAGGUGGCCAGGUAAGUUUGGUGUGAAAGCUCGGAGCUUAACUCCGAAAAGUCAUUGAAUACUAUCUGGCUGGAGGGUCGGAGGGGAGACUGGAAUUCUCGGUGUAGCAGUGAAAUGCGUAGAUAUCGAGAGGAACACCAGUGGCGAAGGCGAGUCUCUGGACGACUCCUGACACUGAUGCACGAAAGCUAGGGGAGCAAACAGG
rnacentral:rRNA from 1 species